rnacentral:rRNA from 1 species
AUACGGAGGGGGUUAGCGUUGUUCGGAAUUACUGGGCGUAAAGCGUGCGUAGGCGGACUAUUAAGUCAGAGGUGAAAUCCCGGGGCUCAACCCCGGAACUGCCUUUGAUACUGGUAGUCUUGAGGUCGAGAGAGGUGAGUGGAAUUCCUAGUGUAGAGGUGAAAUUCGUAGAUAUUAGGAGGAACACCAGUGGCGAAGGCGGCUCACUGGCUCGAUUCUGACGCUGAGGUACGAAAGUGUGGGGAGCAAACAGGAUUAGAAACCCCAGUAGUCC